rnacentral:rRNA from 1 species
UACAGAGGGUGCAAGCGUUGUUCGGAAUUAUUGGGCGUAAAGGGCGCGUAGGCGGUGCGGUAAGUCUGCAGUGAAAUCUCUGGGCUCAACUCAGAGUCUGCUGUGGAAACUGCCGUGCUUGAGUGCGGGAGAGGUGAGUGGAAUUCCCGGUGUAGCGGUGAAAUGCGUAGAUAUUGGGAGGAACACCAGUGGCGAAGGCGGCUCACUGGACCGGUACUGACGCUGAGGCGCGAAAGCGUGGGGAGCAAACGGG